CCUACGGGUGGCAGCAGUAGGGAAUCUUUCACAAUGGGCGAAAGCCUGAUGGAGCAACGCCGCGUGCAGGAUGAAGGCCUUCGGGUUGUAAACUGCUUUUAUAAGCGAGAAAUAUGAUGGUAACUUAUGAAUAAGGAUCGGCUAACUACGUGCCAGCAGCCGCGGUCAUACGUAGGAUCCGAGCAUUAUCCGGAGUGACUGGGUGUAAAGAGUUGCGUGGGUGGCAUAAUAAGUAGCUAGGGAAAUCUGGUGGCUCAACCAUUCAGACUAUUAGCUAAACUGUUAAGCUAGAGUCCGUUAGAGGUAAGCGGAAUUUGUGGUGUAGGGGUGAAAUGCGUAGAUAUUAGGAAGAACACCGAUGGCGUAGGCAGGUUGCUGGGACGGUUCUGACACUAAGGCACGAAAGCGUAGGGAGCAAACGGGAUUAGAUACCCCAGUAGUC
rnacentral:rRNA from 1 species